UGUUACCUGUAUAUUGACAUGAGUAAAAUAUGGGCAGGUACAACAAUAAAACAACGAGGAGAUAGGAAGAAAUAAACAAACAAAGACAGAAGAAGGAUAAAACAGAGCUAAGAUAAAAUGCAAUCCAAAAUAAAUAAGCUGGUUGCCAGAGCGCAAUGAAGCGUAAACAGGAGAUAGGGGGCUCGGCGAGUAUCAACUUUGCUAGCAGAUUCACUUAAAAACACGAGUAGAUUAGAAUUAAAAUAACCAUGUAGGCAAGAAAGAAGAA